CUCAUGGUCAUUCACAAAUUCAUGUUUCAUAAGUAAAUGUCCUGCUCGUCAACUGUUCAUUCGUCAUUGUAUCAACGCUUUGAUAAAUUUACCAGAUCAAUUUAAGUAUGAAUGAUAUUUCUCAGUAUCUUGUUUGAAAUACGACAGCGAUAUACAACGUUCUUUAAAGUUCAUACAUAGUUUCUGAAUCGUUUUCUGACGAUGGACCGUACAAG
rnacentral:lncRNA from 1 species